rnacentral:lncRNA from 1 species
AUGGAAAAGAAAUACAAACAAGCAAAAUGGCUGUCUGGGGAGGCCUUACAAAUAGCUGUGAAAAGAAGAGAGACAAAAAGCAAAGGAGAAAAGGAAAGAUAUAAGCAACUGAAUGCAGAGUUCCAAAGAAUAGCAAGAAGAGAUAAGAAAGCCUUCUUCAGCGAUCAAUGCAAAGAAAUAGAGGAAAAGAACAGAAUGGGAAAGACUAGAGAUCUCUUCAAGAAAAUUAGAGAUACCAAGAGAACAUUUCAUGCAAAGAUGGGCUUGAUAAAGGACAGAAAUGGUAUGGACCUAACAGAAGCAGAAGAUAUUAAGAAGAGGUGGCAAGAAUACACAGAAGAACUGUACAAAAAAGAUCUUCAUGACCCAGAUAAUCAUGAUGGUGUGAUCACUCAUCUAGAGCCAGACAUCUUGGAAUGUGAAGUCAAAUGGGCCUUUGAAAGCAUCACUACGAACAAAGCUAGUGGAGGUGAUGGAAUUCCAGUUGAGCUGUUUCAAAUCCUGAAAGAUGAUGCUGUGAAAGUCCUGCACUCAAUAUGCCAGCAAAUUUGGAAAACUCAGCAGUGGCCACAGGAAUGGAAAAGGUCAGUUUUCAUUCCAAUUCCAAAGAAAGACAAUGCAAAAGAAUGCUCAAACUACUGCACAAUUGCACUCAUCUCACAUGCUAGUAAAGUAAUGCUCAAAAUUCUCCAAGCCAGGCUUCAGCAAUACGUGAACCGUGAACUCCCUGAUGUUCAAGCUGGUUUUAGAAAAGGCAGAGGAACCAGAGAUCAAAUUGCCAACAUCAGCUGGAUCAUGGAAAGAGCAAGAGAGUUCCAGAAAAACAUCUAUUUCUGCUUUAUUGACUAUGCCAAAACCUUUGACUGUGUGGAUCACAAUAAACUGUGGAAAAUUCUGAAAGAGAUGGGAAUACCAGACCACCUAAGCUGCCUCUUGAGAAAUCUGUAUGCAGGUCAGGAAGAAACAGUUAGAACUGGACAUGGAACAACAGACUGGUUCCAAAUAGGAAAAGGAGUACGCCAAGGCUGUAUAUUGUCACCCUGCUUAUUUAACUUAUAUGCAGAGUACAUCAUGAGAAACACUGGGCUGGAAGAAGCACAAGCUGGAAUCAAGAUUGCUGGGAGAAAUAUCAAUAAUCUCAGGUAUACAAAUGACACCACCUUUAUGGCAGAAAGUGAAGAGAAGCUAAAAAGCCUCUUGAUGAAAGUGAAAGAAGAGAGCGAAAAAGUUGGCUUAAAGCUGAACAUUCAGAAAAUGAAGAUCAUGGCAUCUGGUCCCAUCACUUCAUGGGAAAUAGAUGGGGAAACAGUGGAAACAGUGUCAGAUUUUAUUUUGGGGGGCUCCAAAAUCACUGCAGAUGGUGAUUGCAGCCAUGAAAUUAAAAGACGCUUACUCCUUGAAAGAAAAGUUAUGACCAACCUAGAUAGCAUAUUCAAAAGCAGAGACAUUACUUUGCCGACUAAGGUCCGUCUAGUCAAGUCUAUGGUUUUUCCUGUGGUCAUGUAUGGAUGUGAGAGUUGGACUGUGAAGAAGGCUGAGUGCCGAAGAAUUGAUGCUUUGAACUGUGGUGUUGGAGAAGACUCUUGA